UUUUCUUUUUACUAUUCUAUGCAUUUUGUAAGGCUUCCCAAAUCUUCUGUGGGAUUACGCAGAGUAUAUAAAUAAAAUACACACACUACCUCCAGACUCACUCUUUGCAACUGUUAUUAUAACAUCUCCUCGUACACCUUAACUUGUGAUUAGUUCUGUCCAUGGUCAUCUCUUGUACUUAUCUGUGACCUCAUUGCACAACUGAAUCUUCAUGUCUGAAUUUCUUAUAGCACAUGGAAUCAUGUGUUUGAUGAAUAGGCAUUUCAUAAAUGUCUGUUGUUCACAAUGAUGUCUAUGUGCAUCCGUGAACAUAAUUUCUGGCCAACUGGCUAUCAGCAGUGUUUUGGUUGUCAUAAGCAGACUGAUACUAACUGGAAAUGCAUCCAUUCCAAAUAUACAGUGUUUACAGACAUAUCCAAUUAACUUUUAUUAUCCCUGAUUUGUAUAUAACAAUUAGCUGUGCCAUUGUUUGCUGCCAUAUGGAUUACCCCCAACACAAUAAUAAUUUAUUAGCUUACAGAGAAAAGAAAUUUGAUAGGAAGAAGAAAACAACAUGUAAUGUGAAAUAGACUCCCCAUUCAACUUGAGAACUAAGGCUGGCUACAACCUCACACGACCUAAGGUUGAGGGUUGGGAAGGUCAAACUUGAAGGCUUUAAAUUGUCAGGGACAAGAACAAUUCUCUGACGGAAUUAAGAUGGAGCAAUGGCCAGGAUACCUGAAUAAUGCCCAAACCCAGCCUCCAUCACUGGUAUUAACUUGAGUCCAGGAAGGAAUUAGAGGAUACACUCAACAUGAGGACUCCAGGCCUGAAGAGUCAAGCAGAGACAGCGGUUAUCAGAACUGGAGAGAAAGCUACAUGGAGUGUGUCUCCGUGACUGGAGCUGGGGCCUUUGGAAGAAGGACACAGCAAAUGGUAUGCUGGCAAAGGUUUAACAACUGGCUCUCUGAAGAAAAAUUAAAAUUAAAAAAAAACAAAACACUGUUUUGUAGCAUUGGCAGUUUCUCCGGUGUAAAUGUUUUCAUCAAGCUAUGAAUGUGAAGUCGCUAAAUAAGGAGUUGGAAAGUGGUCCGUACCCGUGGCUAUCAAAAGCUGAUAUAAGCAGGCUCCAGCACACCGCCGGACACAGCCAACCCUCCAGGACCCUGCAGGGAAGGAGCCUGGGGAGUGAACAGUCUGGACCCAUUCUCCUCGUAGUCACUUGCAGAAGCUCUCAUAGGCUGAACUCAAUGGAAACCAAAAGGUAGAGUUCCUGCUGCCUUCUCCGGUUCUGUCCCUUACCCAAGGGUCCCACAUAGAGCCCUGCAAAAAGUAGUUACUCAAAACCACCUGCUGCUUGACUCAUUGACAGAGGGCCUGAACAGAUGUGCAACUGGGCAAAUGAGGAGGGAAGAAGAGACCCAGUAAAUGAGUCAAUGGAGACUGUUUGCACUUGAGACUACAUGGAACAAGCAAAUAUAUGAAUAAAAAAAUGAGUAAAACAACGAAUACAUAAAUAAGUGCAUGAGUGCACUAAAAGCACUAAUCUCUGUCAGAUUUCAAAGUAAACCCAUACCUUCUUCUUUCAACAUUUACCUAGCAAUGAGAGAGAACAGCCAUGAUAGGGAACAGCUACUUGUGGCUGGUGGUAGAUUCAUGACUUACCCUUUCACCACCCAAGAGUAAAUGAACUCGGAAGACCACAGCAUCAUUUAUGGGUACCUCUUCAUUCCGGUAUAAGAUCUGAAAGACCCGGCUGUGCACGGUGCUGUCAUGGACACAGGCUGAAUGCAGGCUGCUGCUCUCUGCAAAACAAGAAUCAGUAGGAACCCAUGAACUCCAAUACUGUCCUGUACCUGCAGCCCUGUCAGGUGUCUUUCCUGCUCAAGUAGGCUAAUGGCCCCAAGCUGCCUUCCAAUUUCCAAAGCUUAAAAUCACAGUAAAUGAGACCUCACCAUAUGAAUGUUUCUGUUUAUUGAGUCAGGCUGGUAUCUCAGAAAAACCUUGUUCCAUCCCUUACAAGCGAUAAAAUCUUGGCUAAGUCACUCAUGCCGUGGGCAAUGCUCCUGGGCUGCUAUGCAGUGCCUGCUCAACUUCUCACCUGUUCACCUGUCCCCUUCUCUGUGAAGCAUUCCAUAAACCUCCUCUCCCAGAAACAAUGAGGAGAAGAACGGGGAGUAAAAGACAGAAAACACCCUUCCUUCUACAAGGACUUCCUAGUGCCCAUAGAGUCUCUCCCUUCUCAAAGGUGCUGCUUGCACAUCAUGCAUGUCAUGAGAACACUCUGUCUUGCGUUUUAGGAAAAUGUGCUAAUCCUAUUAUGCUGUAUAUCAAGUUUUAAAGGAAUUGGUUUAGCUCUGUAUCCUCCAGUGCAUUCUAGAUAUACUAUAUCCCUAAACGGUACUUCAAAGUUAAGUUAUAUUUCAACAAGACAAAUCUAUGCAAUGCUUCCACUGUCCAGGGUUAUUUGGGGGAACAAAUGGGUGAACUCCUCCAAAUUACUUAACACAUAAACUAUACAGUUGGAGAUACGUGUAAAAAAUAUAUGUGUGUGUAUAUAUAUGUAUAUGUAUAUAUAUGUAUAUAUGUGUAUAUAUAUACGUAUAUAUACAUAUAUAUAUAUUAUUCUAAAAUAAAUAGCACUGCCCAGGGUUAUUGUGGGGGAACAAAUGGACGAACUCCUCCAAAUUACUUCACACAUGAACUAUACAGUUGGAUAUACAUGUAAAUACAUAUAUAUACACACACACACACAUACACACACAUACACACACGCACAUACAUAUGCGUAUAUAUACAUACUAAAGUAAAUAAUACUAAUAUUUGUAUAAGGCAAUGAUUACCUAUUGAUUACCUAUUUAUAAUAGGGAACAACUAUAUGGCAUUUUACAAGUUCUAAAGUGCUUUUCAAUUGUGGUUACUUUCCUUAAUUAUCAUAACAAACCCAUAAGGUAAAUUUUACACCAGAUGAAGAGACAAAGGCUCAAAGCAGAGGCAGGUGCCUAAAUAUGCACUUGUUAUGAAUGUUUAUGUCUCCCCAAGAUGCAUAUCUUUCACCAAUGUGAUUAUAUUUGGAGGAGGAGCCUUCAGGAGGUAAUUACAUCCUAAGGGUAGAGUUCUCAUAUAUGGGAUUAAUGCCCUUAUAAAAAGAGGCCAGAGGUCUGUUCCCCUCACCUUUCCCACCAUGCAAGGAUACAAUGAGAGAAGUCAUCACUCUGCAAACCUGGAAAAGGACCCUCACCAGAACCUGACCAUGCUGGCAUCCUGAUCUCAAACUUCCAAUCUCUAGAACUGUGAAAAAUACAUUUCUGUGGUCAAUAAGGCACCCAGUUUAUGGCAUUUUGUUAGCAGACUGAGAUGGAGCAUUGCUAUAUAAUGAAGCAUUGUGUAGAUUCAUCCUCACAUCUACCUCUUUAGUAAGAGAGAAAAUGAAGUCUCCAGUGAAAGAAUAAAAUGCAUCUAUUUCCUAGCAAAGGGUGGGGACUCUAUAAAACAGUACUGAAAGAAUUAGUUUGACUGAAAUGGGAGCCAAGAAAAAAAAAAAAAAAACAGCCCAACUAGCAAAGAAAAAUCCUAAGUACCUUGUACACUGUCUCUGGAUGAGUCAAAGAGUUCUUUGAAACAGGGACACAGGAUCACAGUCACCUCCCAAUGCAGUCACAUCUAAACAAACACCUACCUUGUAGCUUCUGAGCAAGGAAUACAAAAUAUGUAAAAUGCCAGGUUGUUUCCAAGGCUACUCAGAUGUGCCUGCUCUAAUUUGCACUUUGUCAUGAAGGCAAUAAAAUUACUGGCCUAAUGCAGUUCUAUUUAGACCUGCUGUAUUCAAAUUGAUGCGGCUAUUAAAUAAAA
rnacentral:lncRNA from 1 species